UACGAACUGUGCAAACGUUAUUCGGAAUCACUGGGCUUAAAGGGUGCGUAGGCGGGUUGGUAGGUCAGAUGUGAAAGCCCACGGCUCAACCGUGGAAUUGCGUUUGAAACCACUAGUCUUGAGGGGAUCAGAGGAGAGCGGAACUGAUGGUGGAGCGGUGAAAUGCGUUGAUAUUAUCAGGAACACCGGUGGCGAAAGCGGCUCUCUGGGAUCCUUCUGACGCUGAGGCACGAAAGCUAGGGGAGCGAACGGG
rnacentral:rRNA from 1 species